AGACAGCUCCAGGUUGUAAUUGUUCUGCCUAAGGAUUUCCUUGUUCAGAUCAAUCUGCCUAAAGCCCAUUUCCUCCAGCUCCCUCAGCAGCUUCUCUUCAUUGUGACCAUCUAUGUCAAAAGGCUCAGGUGCUGCGGCGCUGGCUGCAGGUGGAGGCACAGGCACAGAAGCAGGGGCAGGGGCAGAUGCAGGUGCGGAUGCAGGGGCAGGCAUAGAAACAGGCACAGUUGUAGGCAGGAUAGGCACAUUAACAGGUGAAGGUCCAACCGGGGCAAGCAGCUCAGGUGCAGGUGCAGGCACACUAACAGAAGGCACAAAAGCAGCAGCAGUGGCACUGGACAUGGGAACAUCAACGACAAGGUUUGCAGGAGCUGCUGCAGGCAUAGAGGUAGCAACUACUAGAGCAGGCUGAGAUUUCUUGGGCUCUGGAAC
rnacentral:lncRNA from 1 species